rnacentral:lncRNA from 1 species
AGAGAUUGGGAGUUUGAGAGGCGCGAGUUUGAGAGAGGUCGAAUGAGUGUGGGUAAGGUUGAGGGAGCGAGAGUGAGUCUUUCGUGAAGAAGACGAACGUUUUGUGUUGUUUUCACGUGUCUCUAUCUCAGUUUUCUUUUAUUUAUUUUUAAGAAACAAUAUUUAAAACUUAAUUAAAGACCACUUACCCUUUGGUUUCCCUUGGCAUUUCCUUUAAUUUUUGGUAUGCUGGUAUUAGUGUUCAUUAAUGUAUGGUUA